rnacentral:rRNA from 1 species
CGUGGGUAACCUGCCUCGAUGAUCGGGACAACCCGGGGAAACCCGGGCUAAUACCGAAUGUGCUCUCGAGCCUCAAGGCUCGAGUGGAAAGGAAGCUUCGGCCUCCGCAUCGAGAUGGGCCCGCGGCCCAUUAGCUUGUUGGUGAGGUAACGGCUCACCAAGGCUGCGAUGGGUAGCUGGUCUGAGAGGACGAUCAGCCACACUGGGACUGAGACACGGCCCAG